UUUAAUUAUGCUCUCUGCUUGGAAUCCUUCUGAUUCUGGCACUUCCACCUUGACACAUGUUUGCGCAGUUUAGAUAUGUUUUGCUUCAUUCUCCCAAAAUUCUCUCUGUUUUCUUUCCUUUCUUCCUUUGGUUAACCUAAUUUUACCUUUGCCUUUUUUUGGUGCAAAUGGGAAGUCGUCGUCUCAAAUGUAUUGGUGUUCUGCUGACAUGGGAUUGGUGGUGCCACUCAGCAUCGCUUCUUAUGCUCUCCUUACAUGCACGAUUGCUCAUGUUUGUGGUAUGUAUAUAUGCUUUAGAAAAAAACGUCCCAAUAUUUGUGGUAUGUUACUUCUCCUUAUCGUUUGUAAAGGCUAUUGACUAGUAUUAAUUAAGAGAGUUGUGGAAUACUGUAAUUGCUGUUGUGAAGAGAAAAGUGACUCACAGAUGCCUUUCUUAUGCUUCUUAUAGAAUACUGGUCGGAAAGGAUUUAUGCUUCUAUAAAAAAUGCAUCACAAGGAUUACUGCUAUAAUAGUUUACACUCUAGUGGUUGCUAGAUGAUUACUACCUUUGAUUCCCCAGCCUAAAGGGCGAAAAGCAUCCUAUUGAUAGGAGGAUGUAAACAUGGGAACAAGUGCUUAUUUCAAGUUUUUCUUCUGCAGAUCUUUCUCCCAGUGAUUUUGUCCAUGGUAUUGGGGAUGCUCAUGUUUAUUGUACCCAUGUUAAACCUGUGCAGGAACACCUUCAGAAAGCACGUCAAGCCCUUUCCUGUGAGUAAUCUGCAGUAAAAUUGCAGCAUGGUCCCUUCUCUUUCAUUUCAUUGUUCUGACUCAGCUUGUCUUCUGUUGUACUUGCUAACACUCUUGUUCACAUGUACAGAUUUUAAAGAUAAACCCAGAGAGGAAGGAUAUAGGCUCUUUUCUAGCAGCUGAUUUCAAACUCAUUGGAUAUGACCCUCAUGAUAAACUAGAAAUGAAAAUGGCAGAUCAGAGUUAAAGAUUUGGUGACAUUCAUGAUGGACUCCCUUGACAAUUUUAUAUAUGGUAGGUAUGAAUUCCCUAAUUUCCUGCAUUGCCUCUAACAUUGUUAGCUUUGUCUUCUUAGUCAGAAUACUAAUGGUAGACAAUUUUAGCACCAUGUCCUUAACAGCACAUGGUUUUAGGAAACAUUUGGGGAUUGCAACCGUUUCCAGUGAUAUUAAAGAAGGCCCUGUCAAUUAUAAUAGAAUAUCUGUGUACUUAUUUCUCGUUGAUUUUCCUACUAUCUUUAGUUUAGUAAUCGAGUCCAGCCUUGUUGCGCAGCUAUUCCUUUAUAUUAGUUGUACAGUAAUGGUGUGGUAGUUGGGACUCUAGGCAUUCAGAAGAAGUUCAAGAUUGAGAUAGAUGCGGCCGCUGUUUCAUUAUCAAUUGUUAUACCUGAGCUGACUGUGGUUGGGUUUUUGAGACCUAUUACUUUGGCUGCAGAAAUUGUUCCUUGAGACUGAUUAUUUUUCCAUCCUAAUUUUUCUUUCGGGUUCCCGAAGAUUACAUGUUCCUGUCCUACAGAGGAAAUUCUUAAUUGGAUGUACUUAAUGUCGACAAUUUAGGAAGUGAGAAUCCUUUAGUCCCCCCAGAAUCAUGGUGGUUCUAAGCUGAUUUUGACGUUCCUUCAUCUUGCUAUCUCGUGAAAUUCUGUCUGUGGAUGCAUAGCUCUUGCUUGCUCAGAGACAGAUAAACCUUUGAAAUCGUAUGGUUUUUUCCAUCAUCGUGUUUAGCAGGUCUGGAAACUCUGAGUUGCUGUACAUAUUCCAGUCAUCAUCAUCAGACUCUCUAUAUGUCUUCUUCGUUGCAUUUCUCUGACAUUCGAUUUUCAUUUCUCAUAACUCAUAGGCUCCUAAGAAGGACAGAGCCCUGCCUCACUCGUUUAAGCCUGUGACGUCUUGUCGUAGAAAGCAGAAGAAGAAGGCAUGACUCUCUCUCUCUCUCUCUCUCUCUCUCUCUCUCUCUCUCUCUCAAGAUUGAGAUAGAUGCGUCUGCUGUUUCAUUAUCAAUUAUUAUACCUGAGCCUGACUGUGGUUGAGUUUUUGAGACUUGUUAUAUUGGCUGUAGAAAUCGUUCCUUGAGACUGAUUUUUUUUCCCUCUUUCUUAAUUUUCUUUCAGGUUACAUGAUUCCGUCCUACGUGGGGAAUUCUUAAUUGGAUGUACCUAAUGCUUUGCAAUUCAGGAAGUGAGAAUCCUUCAGCCCCCCAGAAUCACGAUGGUUCUAAGGUGAUUGAGGAUGCUCCUUUAUCUUGCUAUGUCAUGAAAUUCUGUCUCUGGAUGCAUAGCUCUUGCUCGGUCGGAGACAGAUAAACCCUUGAGAUCAUAUGGUUUUUCCCAAGAUCGUGUUCAGCAGAUCUGGAAACUCUGAGUCACGUAUUCCAGUCAUCAUCAUCAGACUCUCUAUAUGUCUUCUUCAUUGCGUUUCUUCCUCUUUGACGUUCGAUUUUCAUGGCUCAUAGCUCAUAGCUACUAAGAAGGACAAAGCCCCUCCUCUCUUGUUUAAGCCUGCGAAGUCUUGUGUUAGAAAGCAGAAGAAGGCAUGACUCUCUCUCUCUCUCUCUCUCAUAUGUUGAGCCAUUGAAAGUGUGGGGACAACUGGGGUUCCUUUGUAGUUAGUGAGGAUAUUUUCGAUGAUGUUACGCAAAAUGAAGUGAGGAUAGCAGAUCUUUCACGUUGGGCUAUAAUGGCCUUGUAAGUUUAUAAUUUUUUCCAGUGCAUGUACUGUUUAUUAGGUAAUUGGACUGGGGUCUUAAGUUGAGCUGUCGAAGAGUAUGUUGGGCAUCCAUCUUUGUUCUUUUUUUUCUUGGGUAGUUACUGAUUGAUUUUGCUGUCGAGUGUUUGAGCAAUUGGCCUCUGAAAUUUUAGGCAAAAAAAAAAAAAAAAAAACAAAGAAAGAAAGAGAGAGAGAAAAAUGAACAUGUUUUUUUUCUUUUUUUUUUGGUGACCGAGGAACCGCCAGAGAUCACCCUUUGGGGAUCACACGACAAAAAUGAACAUGUUUUAUACGUUCAUGCUUAUUUGUUGUUUAUGUCGGGCUUACUUGGGUUGUGAUGGAUUAGAUUGUGUGAUUGGUGAGCAGAAACGGAGCAAAGGAAAACAGAAGGAGAAGGUGAACAACAUGGUGCUGUUUGACCAGGCAACUUAUGACAAGCUUCUGUCCAAGGCGCCCAUGUAUAAGCUCAUCACCCCGUCCAUCCUCUCCAAUUGCCUAAGGGUAUGCCUUUAUGUUAAUCUUAUUAGUAUCUAUAAUUGUCUAUGUCUUGGUUUAGGCAUCUACUCUUUCCCCUUUUCUGCUUACAUGAUCCGUCAUCUAGUUAUUUCUUAUAUAAUGAGAUGGUAAUUGCCAUCACGCUUGAACCUUUCUGGACACGUUUUGAUGUAACCUUUUAUUGAUGCACUUAGGUGAAUUAUGUACAUGUAUGUAACUGAUAGGAUGUUUUCAGCAGGAACUUGCUCUGUUAAUUCUGACAAAUGCCUUAACUUGUUAGUCUUAUAUAUGGUGGAGUUCUCAAGUAGAGUUCCACCCAAUAAAAUUCAUUGUCACGGUUUCUUUAGGUCUAUUAAGUUAGGAGGAUCUGACCGUGGAAAGUUUGUUCCCAUAGGCAAAUAAUGAUAAAAUUAGAACUCCCCGUCGGCUCACUUCCUGUAGAACAAAUUGUUAUUUUUCUCGGUCUUAAUAGUGCACAUUCUUCAUCGGCAAAUUUUGUGGUGGCGGGACAUAUUUCUGCUAAUAUGGAUGAGUCAGCCUUUUUUGGAGAAUGUAAUUCACUUUUAGAGAUUUAUACUAUGAACCAAUCUCUUCUGGAUCCUAAAAGCUGUCACAUUUUCAAAGUGGUUAGUAUUCGCCAUCCUUUGCAUCGAAUUUUGGUAAUUUAGAACUCAAAACUCUCAUGGAAUCAGCCUUUGCUGCAUUUAUAAAUGAUUUUGUUGUGUUGCUUGCAUGUGAUCGAGUUAAGAUGACAACAUUUAACUUACCUGCCUUGACUUGACAUUGGUCUGGUGGUUCUAUUGCAUUCGGUUUUUCAUGGCCAGUGUUUGCGCAGAACAAUUAGAUACUUCAAUGUGCUAUAGCUAACAUAUUCGUGUUCUCAUCAGUGAGAGGAUCUUGCUGUCUGAGCUCCUCUUUCUACUAAUUAGUCAUCUCUUUGUUAUUUAUAAACUUCAUCUGGUGUAGGUUAAUGGAUCACUUGCUCGGAAGGCAAUAAGAGAACUCAUGGCUGGAGGUUUGAUCAGGAUGGUCUCUAUUCAUGCAAGCCAGCAGAUCUACAUCGGGGUGACAAAUAAGUUAGUGUCUUAGGCCCCGCUUGCAUUUUCAGCUAUAUUGCAAUGGUUGUUUUAUAUCCUGCAUUGGUAGACAACUGUUUUCUUAUCUCUGGGAUAACAUGUUGCAUACUAGAAUUUAUGAGACAGAUUAGUGUUCUUUGAGGUUUUUAUGAAGUGGAUUAUUAAAUUUUUGAUAAGCUAAUAUUUGGUGUUCGUCCAAUUCUUUUGCCUGCUGGUAUUACUCUUUCGGGAGUGCUUGCUACUGCCUACACAAAAGAGAUUUUAGCAUCUUGAAAUGCUCCAAUGCUCACCAGCAACUAUUGUGCAUAAAUUGUACGAACAGCUGAUGAGUUGGCAAGUAGAAAUGUGCUGCUCCUGAUGGGGAUAAUUCUUAUAUGGUAUUUGCAAAUGGUGGAUUGUUCUUAUUGCGUAUGUAGUAAAGAAAAGAGGUUUUGCUGAAUGGGAUGUCAUACACUCAUCAUGUGAUAUUAACAAAAUAUUUGAAUCAUGUUAAUCAUGACAAUAAUAGACAUUAUCUUUGGUAUAGAAUGCAAGGGAUUUGACAACUAAAAUUAUGAGUUAAAUUGGAUAACAAAAAUUAAAAAUUUAAAAGGCCUGUCAUCACUUUUAUGUAUUGCUUGGCAAGGUAGUUGAUUCUGAGAGAAGUAUCCUUGGUAUGGACUCCUUGGCAAGCUUGCCCGACUACUCGCAAAAUUUCAAGGAUCUGAAUGCUCAUAAUUACUUUGGCUAAAAAAGGGUCAAAAGUAAUUGUUUUUCACUUGUAAAAAUUUGCGAAAAAGUUAUGAUUAUCAUCUGCAUUGUUCCUUGAUGUUGAAAUUUGUCCUUGAAUUUUUAUUUUGGCCAAUUUGGUCCUUGUUCUCUUUCUAUGUAACCAAUGCAGUCUUUUAAGCUAAUUUGGUCAAACGUGGCAAUUCGACUCAGCCAUGGGACCUCUGUUUGUUGAUGUGGCGUCCCUAUCAUCAUGCCACAUCAGUGAAAAUUGUAAAAAAUAAAGGGAAACUGAAACUUAGAAAUAUUACAAAAAUAAGAAUGGGUAAGAAUUAAUAUAAGCAUGGGAGAGAUAGGGGCAGCACUCGCUUAGAUCUGGGUGAAGGCGAGCACCGUCAUGGGUGGUGGCGGGCUUGCACUCGGUUCUGCUGAGCACCAUUAUAGAGACGAUCUUCUUUGAGGCCAAUUUGUUCAGCUCUUCGGAGGAAAACGGCUAAGAAGCCUAGAAAUUAAGGAGCAAACUCUUGAUGCAAAACAAAAAUUAAAACACAAAUUCAAAAUUAACGAGGUCGAAACUAAGUGAUUCUCGGUAGGCACUCCAAUCGGAGAUUCAAAGUGAGUGUUCCGAUGACUUCAUUAAGGGCUAGAAGAUGAACAUGGCUGCUUCAAAACCACCUUGUUGGCAUUGAAGGAUGACGAAGGUGUGUUGCAACCUACCCCUCUAGGCGUUUGAUCUCAAGGAAUAGGUUUAGAGAUACUUGUUUAAGAGACCGUCCUCAAGGCGUAUCACAUAAAGAUAUCACAUAAAGAAGGCUCAAAAGCAACAUCUUUAAUGUUCAUAUAGGAGAUCCAUUAAUCGAGAAUAUAGAUUCUCUCAAAUCCAUAUGUUACAUGACAGCAAUUCAUUUUAAGUUUUUGUCAUUGGCGGUGGCCAGAUUUUUUUGAACAUUUGUUCAUAAUUAAAUUGCAUAUGGGUUUUUCUCUUUGCACCUUAGUAACUUUUCUCUUUUGGUGCAGGGAAUGCUCCUGGAUGUGAUGCUAUCCACAUAACAAAAGUUGAGACACCACUUGAAUCUGACACUUUUUUGCCCAUGGUUGAUACAUCUGUCUUCCAAUCAUGGUACUCGUCCUUUUGCAUCAUUGAAAAUGACAACCAGUAACUACUUAUAUCCGUGUAGGAUGUUAUGCAGUGGUUUUCUGCCUAGUAAAAAAUUUUAAGCUGCUUAUCCAAAAAUUAAAUAAGAAAGAAUCCAAAAGGGAAAGCAUUUGUGUAUGUAUUCACAAGUGCAUCUGAGAGUCUAUACUAAUUUAGAAGCGUGGAUGAAUUGCCAAUAUCCAGUGGUCCCCAGACUCCACAUAGAUUCUAGAAGAGAGAUCAAAAGAUAUUAGAAGUAGAGUUUCCCAUCCGUUUUUGUUUCAUAUGUAAAAUACCUUGUUAUUGAUCAUAGAAUUGUUGUGUAUUUCCUUCACCAAAAGUUAAGAGAGGGUCCUUUCAAAAGCAUAUCUCCAUAAAUUAUUGCAAUUUUUUAUAUUGAAAAGGGGAAUGUAAUUGUUUUAUUGUAUUUACUGUGUAAACUUACAGAAUCUUUAUAAUAAUGUGAAAUCUUUAAUAAACUUAUGAUGCCCUUUAUUUUAUUUUAUUUUGGUAAGGUAAGAAUAUAUAAGCUAAUAACCAAAAUAUACAAGAGGCUCGGCACCAAAAACUUACACUCAUAAAGACAACAAGUCAGGACGAGUGGAAGGGAGCCAAAUAAAAGAAGGAGGACCGCAAGACAAGCGGACCAACCAACAAAAGCAAAGCAGCCAAAACAAAAGACAACAAAACCCUAGCUAGGACGGCAUCAUAGUAGCAAAACGGCCGGAGCAACUCAGGAGCAAGCAAUCGCCAGAUCGCCAAAAGGAAGAUCACGAAGGAGUCGCAGCGGCAAGAGCCCACCUACGUAGGCUCAAAGAUAGAAGUAUCAAAUCUCCAGCAUCUUUGAAGUCUUAUAUUCUUGUACGAGCUGGGCACAUUCUUGUAAGUCGGAGCUUUGUCCUUGACAACCUUAAUAAGAUGGUUCUUUAACGCUGAGAUUACCACAGCUUCGCCACGGAAGAUGACAUUAUUCCUUUUCUUCCAAAUAAUAUGGCACAAAGCCCCAAAAGAAAAUCGAGACAAGGAAUGGAAAAAUUCAUUUCUUGAGAGGUACUUCAUAAGCCAAAGGAGAUUGUCCAUCCAGGAUCUAUUUCGCCACAGAAUAUUACAUCUUGUAGCCCAAAAAAACGCAAGUGUUGUUGAAGUAUGACAUUCAAACUUAUGAUGCCCUUUAUCUGUUGUUCAAACUCAAAAAAUUUAUAAAAUGAUUAUGUAUAGAUUCAAGUGUCAAUAUAAUAUUGUGAAAAUAACAUUUGGAUUUGGAAAACGUUCAAAGUACGCGAGUUGCAAAAUUUAUAUUAAUGACAGUAAAAAAAAGGGUUAAUACCCUGAAAAAUCCUAAACUUGUACACUUGCCCAAACUAUUUUUUUGACCAUGAAAAACCCCAAAUUGGUACACAUGUGACAAAUUUACCCCGACUGACCAUAAAAAACCCUAAAUUGGUACAUUUAUGACAAAUUUACCCCAAAUUAAUUUAUUCGACUGCAAAAAACUCUAAAGUGAUAAAUUUGUGAUAAAUAUACCAUUCGCUAAAUUGGAUUAAUACCACAAAAAAUUAUAAAAAUUGUAAACUCUGACAAACGGAUCAUAAAAUCCCAAAUUAAUAUAUUAGUCAAUUGUCACGUGUCAUUUAACUCAAUAAUUUGAUAAUAAAAUUUAACGAAAAUUAACAGAGGGUAAAUUUGUCACAAGUAUACCAGUUUAGGGUAAAUUUGUCAAAAGUAUACCAGUUUGAGGUUUUUUAUGGUAAAAAAAAAUAGUUUUGGGUAAAUUUAUCACAAAUGUAUCAGUUUUGGGUUUUUCAAAGUAUUAACUCUAAAAAAUAACCUAAAUAAGCCCUCAACGUGCCUUUUCCUUCAUGUAGAAUGAGCGUGUGCGAGAGAUUCUCUAACUUGCUAACUUUUAGGUGGGCUACAACGAGGAGCUUCAUGAUUUCUGACACAUCCAAUCUCGAUUAGUAUAGAAUGAAUACAGUUGUGUCCAUAUUUGUUUGAAGUACGAGAGUCGUACAAUAAAGUCCGAAGGAGCUCCCAAUUUUGGCGGAGCCUCCACUCUACUAGCGACAAGAAAAGCCAGACAGGCCCCACGUGGGCCGGACAUCGCUUUUUGACCUUUUUGUCUUUCUUCAGUCGUUAGGGAACUUCUCUCUUUCCUCCUCACCAAAAAAUACUUCUCUCUUUCCAACUCUUCCGUUUAGACAUUGACUAGCGAUUUCUACAGUCGAGGCGUGACAGCUUACGUUAUAAGUGGGCCCGGCGCUCACGUAUGCAACACGUCGGCGCUCCGUAUUCAAUGGUUAGCCUUUCUCUUUUUCCAACUCUCUACACACAAACGUGGACUGACGACUUUACCAAAAAAAAAAAAAAAAAAACGUGGACUGACGAUGACUCCUGCUUCAAAGCCGCUCAAAUCAAUAUGCUAUGAAAGAGGACCAUGUAUUAUAAUUUUAAAUAUUGAGAAAUGGAAUGUAAUUUUGUAUCUACUGUGAUGAACUAAUUUGCGAGAUCAAUCAUCUUUUAAGGUGAAGAAGAUGGUGUUAGAGAGAGAGAGAAGAGAAAUAAAGGAGGAAAUAGAAGACAUGAUUUGAAAGUGGGCCCAUUUCGAUACGUGGUAAUCAUUAACGGAUUAGAAUAUGAUCUACGUGAUAGGAAACUGUUCAAUCAAUUUUAAAUCUUUUAUAUCGAUUCCAAUGUAAUCUUGAAUUUUUAGUUUUACUAAUUUAUUUAUGAAUCUUUACGUGAAAUUUCAAUAUAGUCAUUCUAGUCAAUUUUAUCGGAACUUGCUAACUCUGUGCCAUCGCCAGACAUCUUACAUGGCACAUUACCACAUCAGCAAAUUUCCACCGAACAUUGACAAGAAGAGCACCCCAUACUUUCUCAACAACAUAUGGUCCUCUUUUCCAGAACUAGUAAGCAAGAAAGCCAUUCAUGGCUUUACCCAUAAAAGAUAAAGCAGAUAUGCUUGGAAAUUGCUUCUUUCGAAACUCAUAUUUACUAUGUCGUUAUCAUGUGUUGGGGUUGCUUUGAUUGGAGAAGGGAAGAACACCCAAAUGUCAAACUUAACAUGAGUGGACACAUAAGUGCCAAAACUUCCAAAAUAUAUAUAUAAGUAGGGGUGUAAGUGGUUUGGUUCAGUUAUGUUUUUUUGGAAAACCGAACCAAAUCGAACCAAUAAGGAAAUUUAUUGAACCGAAUUGAAAUCUGAUCCAAACCAAAACUAAACUGAAUUGAAAUCCCAAUUCGAUUCGGUUCGGUUUUUUGGUUUUUAUUUUUGUUUUUGUCUUUUUUCUGCUAUUAUAUAUUGUAAGAUUAAUUUUCCAAUCAAAUUGUCUUUUGCUCAACAAGAUAAAAACUUCAUUGGUUUUCAUAAGAAUUUUCAAUAAAUGAAUUUUAAUUAUGAAAAAGAUAAAUGAAUUUUAUAUUAUCUUAACUUACUAGCUGUAAACUGGAUAAAUUACAAAAUGGUGGGAUGGUAUGAAAUUAGUGAAACAAAUGUUAGAGCCUAAGCAAAUUAACGUUUCAUUAAGGUGCAAUUCGUUUCGCAGAAAAUGACUUUUUAAGAAAAUAUUUUCUCGGAAGUCAUUUUUCAAGCAAAUAAUAAUAUUUUCUCCAGCCCGUUGGGAGAGAUACAACAAGAAAUCCAUUUGUGUCUUGAUGAUUUGUGUUUAAAGCGCCAAAUGGUCCAAAUUUAUCUCACGGACAAUAGAGAACUUGAUGUAGCCUGUUCUUGUGAGAAGCUAAAGAUCACAUGUUCUAAGAAAGACUGUGAUGGUUCCUGGAAAAAAUCUUUUAGGAAAAAGAAGUACUUUAAGAAGCUCUAGAUAAAGAAAUCUAGACAUGGAUCUAAGCAUUUCCGGAAAAGAAGAAGGAGUUUAGAAAGCCAUUGAGAGUUUCAUACAAAACACUCACUCUUCAAGGGACUCUGCCCAACACAUUACAUCCAAUGGUUUUCUAAACUCCUUCUUCUUCUCCGGCCUGGUAGGAUCCUCUGAGAAAUGCAGCUCGGAUAAUUAUAAACGUUACCAUCCUGACAUCUCUGAGUGUCUCUAAGCUCUGAACUAAAGGUCAGAGUGGUUUCUUGCUAAAAGGCUGUGCCUGAAGGGCUUGAACGGGAGAGGUUCGCCUACAAUGGGAAGGCAUACCUGUAGGAAACUGAUUAUGUCUUACCUAGUUCUAAGCUUCGGUCUAUUCAUGGUAUCAGAGCCUGGUUUCGUUUGUAAUAAGAUUCGUUCCAUGCGCUUAGUAGGUGCCAAUGCUGAGAAGAUCUCUUUACAUCAUGACUAACCCAGAUAUACUAGAAGCAUAUGUUUCUCUCGCGUCAUCUUUAUCUUCCUCAACACCUUCAGAUUUUCGCGUUUCUAGUGCUUCUAAGAUAAACUAUCUUUAUGAAGUCUCUCUUAGCGAUGAAACCAAGGUCUCUAAAACUCAACUUCCUCUUAUUAACUCUUACUUCGCUUUUGCUAAACCCACCUCAUCAUUUUCUCCUAUUUGCUCCAUUCGACAACUCAUCCGCCAAACUCCAAAGGAAGUGAAGGAAUAUGUCCAGUCCUUUAAGUUUGAUCAACAUCCCAUUCCUGCCACUGAAAAUGAGUAUUUUAUUACUCUUCAAAUCCCUCCAGAGUUUCCCAAGCAAUGGACUCAACAUGGAUAUUCUCAUGUCCAUUAUGGAGCUGUUCAUCUUACUCUUACUUUCCAUGGCCGCAAGGGUUUGCUAGUCGAAGUAAGAAUAACGUUAUUGGAUACUCAGUUCCUAGAAUACCAGCAUGAUUGCAUUAGUAUUGUUCAAGCCACUUUAAUUGCUAGAACAAUCUUUGUAACCUUAUAUCCAAACUUCAAUAUCGCUCUUUCAGACCCCCAAUUACUUUCUUUUCUAAAAGUCCAGGUUCAACUCACUGGAGCUCCUCAAACUGCUGACUCUAUUGCAGCAACACUGCAUUACCAGAUGGUUUAUUGAGUACAGAACCAUGCUCUUGACUUGAAUUUCCACAAUGGAAAUGAAGAUGCUUUAUUCAUUUCCAUGCAGAAUGAUCAAGCAUCCUGCAUUCAUGUUCCUCGACAGAUCCCAAAGGAAAAGUUGGCCAAGCUUCUUCCAGAAACAUGGAUCACCAACUAUGAAAAACUACAUUAGAAUAACAAGCCCUUCCAGUCUUUGGACUCUGAAUUCGGAGAAAGAAGAAAUGCCGAUAUUUACGUAAAAUGAAAGAUCGCUUAGGCCACAAAAAAUCAAAUCGAUGCUUCAUCUGCAACUAGAAAGAACAUUUUGCCAAAACUUGUCCCUAGGCUAGAAAAUGUCAGAAUCAUCCGAUAUAUCAUAUAAAGAUUAAAACUGGUAUUUCUCUUGAAAAUGAUGAUAUCAAAUAUCUAUUCUCUGCGGAAGAAAAACCAUAUGAACAAACUUUUGGUGUCAUCCAUUGUUAUCAAAUUCCUCGUGAAACCGAUUCAAAUUCAGACUCCGAAGACCUUUUUUACAUAUCCCUCACUUCUUCAGAAUAAAGCACUGAUAUAUUUUCAAGCUAAACCCAUUGUCUACAUUUCCUUGUGAAAAUCUUUACUUCAAAGUUUGCUAAACCCAUCAUUAUUAUUGCUCUCAUAGACACUGGUGCAAGUUCUUCAAUUUUCGAUACUAAAGUUCUUCAUGAAGAAUAUUGGACUUCGUGUGUUCGAUAUUUCAAUUUUGCUUCAGGAGAUACUUUUUCUACGAAUGUAAGUACCACCCCAAUAACUAUCCAAUUUUUUCCCUAGUGUUCCAUAACCACAAAAAUCUUCAGAUCCAAUCUCCCCAUCAAAGAUUUAAUUAUUGGUUGGGACAUCAUGACUCAUAUUUCUUAGCUUCGUAUCAUUCUUGGAAAAUGUCUUAAGUAUAAGGACCAAUUCUCUGAAUUCGUCCAUAUUAAAAGACUUUUUUCCAUCCAAAUGAAUCUAUUAGAUCCGAUUAUGCAGACUGUUAGAAUCCUGUUUAGAAUCCCAUUCUGAGUUCGCUCAAAAGUGUUCUCAUCAUUUAUGGAAAAAUCCGAAACUCUUUAUUCACCUUCCUUUUAAAAAGAAUGAAGACAUCAAUCCAACCAAGGUGAGUCAUAUGGGAAUAAAGCCAGAGCACUUGGUCUCUACUUAGAAGGAAUGCUCAGAAUUGCUGCAACAAGGUCUUAUUAAAAUUUCAAAUUCUCAAUGGACUUGUAAAAUCUUUUAUGUCAACAAACGUGCCGAGAAAAAUAGAGAAAAGAUGCGACUGGUAAUAAACUAUCAGCUUCUUAACCUCUUCCUUCAAGAUGACAAGUUCCCUCUACCAUCUAGAAAUUCUCUUUUUACCGAAUUAACUAAAGCCCACAUCCACUCCAAAUUCGAUCUCAAAGAUGGAUUUUGGCAAUUGGGCAUCCAUCCUGAAGAUAGGCCCAAGACAAGGUUCUAUAUUUCAAACCGGCAUUUCCAAUGGAAAGUUAUUCCUUUUGGCCUAAAGGUAGCACCAUCUCUAUUCCAGAAUGCCAUGUAUCGAAUUUUCCAACCAAUCCUGUCAAGUGUAGCAGUAUAUAUCGAUGAUAUCCUGCUCUACAGUCCUAACGAGGAAUCACACUGCCAACUUCUUGAGCAGUUCGCAGAAAUUGUGAAAAAACAUGGGAUCAUGCUUUUUCAAAGGAAGAUGAAUAUCGCCCAAACGGAAAUUAAAUUUCUUGGUAUGCACCUUAACAAAGGUACGUACUAUCCAGGGCCGCAUAUUGCUCAAGAACUGUUAAAGUAACCUAAGGAGAAUUUCAUGACAAAGCAAGUUAAGAAAUUUCUUGGGAUAAUUAAUUAUCUCAGAGACUUUAUUCCAAACAUUGCAAAACUGCUGAUUCCAUCACAAUCAAUGUCGAAGAAAAAUCUCCCACCUUGAGGAAAAUCUCAGACUAAAGUAGUUGCUGAACUUAAGGAUAUUAUGCAGACUCUUCCUCCAUUACAAAUCUCAUCAAUAGGAAAGAGAAUUCUCUAGACUGACGCUAGUGAUGAAUACUGGGCAGCCAUUCUGUUUGAAGAAAUUGAUGGUAAGAGACAGUUGUGUGCCUAUAAGAGUGGAAAGUUUUCCCAAGCUGAAAUGUAUUAGCAUUCCACUUUUAAAGAAAUCUUAGCGUUGAAAAAUGGAAUAAAAAAGUUCGAAUUCCAUCUCAUCGGCCAUCACUUCUUGGUAGAAUUAGAUAUAACAUCUUUUCCUGAGAUGACCAAAUUUAAACAGAAGCUGAUUCCAUAUUCUCAAUUACUUCGAUAUGUUGAAUGGUUUUCAUAAUACUCUUUUGAAACCAAACACAUUGCCGGAAAGAAGAAUGUGCUUGCCGACUUUUUGUCAAGGCCAAAGGCACAAACCGAAAUCAACAUGUAUAUCAUAAGGUAUGCUUUCCAUAUUUUUUACCACAAUGAAAAGUAUAAGAUUGAAAGAAUACAAGAUUGACCAAACUGGCAAUACCCUUAGGCUACGUUUGGUUAUCCGGAUUUCUAAUCGGGAUAAGAUUGGAUAAGAUAGGAUAUGAAAUCUUGAGAUUUUUUUAUAUCAUGUCUAUUGUUUGGUGAAUCGUAGUAUUAAAGUCGGAUAUGUUCACAUCAUAUCUUGUACAUUUUUUUUUUUAAAUAAACGGCAUAUCAUUGUAAAUGAACCUAAAUGUUCAUAAACGGAGAUGGUGAAAAUCUCUUGUAACACUAUUCCUUAAUUUAUUUUUAUUUUAUUUUUCCUCUUUGUUAUAUUAUUUUCUUUAUUAUUUCUUUUUUGCCCUUUCACCAUUCUUUUAUAAAAUUUUAUCAAAUAGUAAACUGUACUAACAUAUCUAAAAUACAAAAAUAGCUAAAAUAUAUAAUAAAUAUAAAUAUUUAAUUUAUAGAUUGAAUGUUUAUUAUAAGAUAGAAUUAAAGUUGAAUAUAUAAAUUAAAUAAGAUUAAUUAAAAAUAAUUUUUUAUUUUUUAUUUUUUAUUUUUAAUUUCUUAAAUUAGAAUUCAAAUAUUAUUUAUAUUAAAAUAUAAUUUCAAUUUUGUUAAUUUAAUAAGUUUGUUAUUCAAGAAAAAUAACUUUCUUAUUAUGAACAUUAGAAAUCCUAUCCAUUUUUAUCACACCUCCCCCAUGAGAUAAUUUUAUCUUGUCUAUAUCCCUCUUAUAUCCGACCUUAUCAUGUCUUGAGUGAGUACCAAACGUAGAAUAAGAUAAAUCAUAUGCUAUCCCGAAUUUUAUCCCAACUGUCAAACGCAAUGUUAGGAGAUUGUCGAACAAAUCCAAAUUGACAAGCUCAUUGAAAAUCUGGAAAACCUCAUGUGGCAAUGCCACACGAAUCUAUUCAGACUCCAUGGAGGCUCAAUUCUUUAUCGUUUUUGUGACAUCCUGCUUUUCCAAUUCUAUUUUCAAUAAAUUGAGACGGGCAUUUCGUCGGCAUGCAUAUAGUUCUUUUCCUUGAGUUAGCCACUCAUGUGAAAACUAGUCUAUCAGGUGAAGCCAUUAAAAUAUUCUAAUGCAUCAGACUCGAGAAUUUGACCAGGAAGCGACCUUUCGAUCGAGCUAAUCUGCAAGGGUCAUUACGACACAAUUAAAAAUCGAUUAGAAACCGGAGAUAGGUCGACUCGACAAAGACAUGUGAUCAAGGGUGAGUGAUUCCACUAGGUCGCACAAUCCUUGUCGAUCGGCACUAAACCGAUUUUUCCGUCAAUUGGGUACCCUGUGUCCAUAUUUGAAACAUUGAGAUUACCUCAACAACCGAGAGUCGCUAAUGUGUCAAAGAUGUACAUUGUGGCUUGAUCAACCACUGGUCGAAUGCAUGAAAAUUUCUAAAAGCUACUCGGUAGAUCAGGACGCGCUAAUAUCGUGCCAGAGUAAAAUUAACUGUGAAUUGAGAUCGAAUUCAGAAAUUGGAAGUCAUGUUGUGUCACAAAUCAUUUUAGGAACAUUGGCUUAUCUUCAAAAGAUUUUUCAUGUAAUCAGAGUUUUUCAGCAAGUUAAUCAUGAUAUGGCUAAUUUGGCUCGAGAAAUUAGUAGGCUCGCCCUUGGUCAUGUUUUUGGGACUUAAGUUGGUUCUAUGGACAAGCGAAGAUGUGAAUUGAAGUGUGGUGACGUUGGAUUAAUUUUAUGGACUUCAAUUUGGUUCAAUUGGAAGAGAAUCGAAUGGAAUUAAAGAAUUUAAUGUACAAGAUUUCAUGCCACGGCGGAAAAGGAAAUUGCAACCAUUGGAAGAUGUUGUGGAGGGUUGAGUUAGUGGAAGAUGACAUCAGGUGAUGUCAUGGUGGUUGGGCCAUAUUGAAGGAGAUCUUGACAAGUGGAUGGUGGGGAUUGGCUCUUAGAAAGGUGGGCUAUCAACAUCAUCUUCAAGCUUGGGAAGAGAGAGAAAGAGGAGAGGGAAAGCUCCGAACGGAACUAGCAGCCCGCAUGCCCCUUCGCCGCUCGCUCGGUCGCUCGACACCACCACCCGUUGUCGUCACCGGCGCCACCCGUCUACACCUGCUCGCCCGCGCAACCGGCCAGCUCCGCUCCCCCUUCGCCUGCAUGCACACGCGCUAGCCAGAGCCCUCGUCAUUCGUUCAUCGCUGCCCUUGGCCGAGCUGCAGCCGUGAGCCACCGUCCAGCUCGCCGGGAGCUCGUGCAAGCCGUUGCUACCGCUCGCCGAUCCUCCUUCGCCGUUCCUCUGCCCGAACUAGCACCGGAGCAGCCCUCCGUUGGCCUCAACUAGCAGCCAAGAAAAAUGCGUAUGGCAGCUCGGUUUUGGCCUGUUUUGGCUGUCUUCCCGACCCCGGAUACUUGGCCCGCUUUGAGAAAAGUUGUUCCCCUUGGCGUCUCCGUCGUUUUGGUCCGCUCGGUUCGUUAAUCGGGUGAGUUUAACUCACUAAAUCUUGAUUAUAAGGUUAAUGAUGCCCUAAGUGUGCUUAGUCUAAGUUAAGUAAACUUAGGUGGUUAGUUUAGUUUAUUUAAUUGUGAAUUAAAUUAAGAGGUUGGUUUAAUUUAAAAUAUGUUUAAUUAAGGUUAAGUUGAUGUUUAUAUUAGUAUAAUGGUGAUUUGAUAUAAAUGAAUUACUUUCGGAUUAAAUAAAUAUUUCGAAAUUGUUUAAUAAUUUAAUAAUAUUUUAUUAUUCGAAAUUAUUAAAUAUUAUUAUUUAAUUAAAUUUCGGAAUAAAUUUAAUUAUUUAUUAAAUUCUGAAAAUUAUUUCGGGACCUUAUUUUCCAAGAAUUUCGUGCUAAUCGUUGCUGUGCAUUUAGAAUUUGAAUUUGAUGAAUGGAUGUGGCAAAUUGAGUGUUGAUUGUGAUAAAUAUGGAUUUUAUUCAUAAAAACCCAAGUGUCGAGUUUUGAUGCAAAAAUUGGAUUCUCGGUAUUAUAUUAAAUAGUGGGGUUUGAAAAAGUGAGAUAUUGGUUUUCGGGAUCGAAAUUAACGUGUCCCCACACAUGUGAUUAAUUUCUAGACUAUUUUUAAUAUGAAGAAAAAUGGCCGGGAUCACUAUUUUAAGUGGAAGCAUUGAGUGAAAUACAAAGUGUCUCGGGCCGAAUAUGAAUUGUUGUGUGAUAAUUAAGAGGAGAUCGUCCUGGGCUGUUGAGCCGGACUUACCCCUAUAUGGGAGCCCACAUAGUGGUUGCAGGUCGUAGUUGAUUCUGGGCCCAUGUUCCUUCGGGAAUGUCGUCGACAUACUGACGAAGCUGCGCUCCAUGGGGGGAGGUGAUGCCUGGCAUUAAAGUCAAUAGAUAGCCGAAUUGCGAGUAGGUUAUGCCCUUGUGUGGCAGUGAAUAAUAAUUGGAAUGUGUGCUAAGUGCGAUUGUGAUUUAUAUAAAAGUGAUGGCAUUCCAAUUAUUUGAAUUAUUAUUACUACCUGAGAUUGUGUGAUACAAAUUGUGUUAAUCUGUAGGAAGGAAUUAAGAUGAGGUAAGUCUUCCGUGUGAUGUGGCUGGGCCACCCGGGAUGUAUUUUCUUUCUAAUAGGGGUUUAGGGGGUUGAACUUGCUGAGACAAUGUCUCACCCCGUUGUGGGCCAAAAUUUCAGGUCCCUAGAUGGCGGUUGUGGAGGACCCGAAGCCCUAAGUUUGGAAAUGUGGAAACUGAAGGAUCGGUGAACGUGUCCUGCUAGUUGGAUUAGGAUAGUUCCCCUUUCGUCGAACUAGUCUAUUUUGUAAACAGUCCAAUAUUGUAUUUAAACCUAUGUGUUUAUAAAUGAGUGUUUGGUAUUGUGAUUGAUUGCCUACUUUUCUAUCCCAAGUUAAAUGUUAUUAGGGGAUUUGUUUCGCUUUCACAUGCGUAAUAAAAUGAAUGGGUCGGCGACGUAUCUUGGGAUAUCGCAUAUUUGAUCGACUGCAGUGGGAUGUGCGCACGCUCGGGGUUCAGGGCGUGACAGUUUUGGCUUAAAUAUGGACUACCCAUUCAUACAUCCUCUAAUUUGGAAGGAAUAUAACUUAUCUGAUCAACUCCAAUGAUUAUUAUGGUACUUAACCAAUAAGUACUUAAUAGCUGUUGAAAUUCUGACAAGAAGAUUCAUUGUCAACCUCACAAGGAUAUUCGGACUUGGUUGAAACAUCGAAAAUGAGAGUGACAGAAAUCUUUUAGCCUUUCUCAACUGGUUUUACCCUUCUAUUCACUAGAGGCGGCUUUUGCAGCAAGAAUUGAGAACUAUCCAACCAAACCCUAAAGUCCACACUAUUCCAUUUUUUAGACGACCAUGGGCUUUUGUGAAAAAUAAUGGUAGCAUCAUCAAUGCUCCACAUAUUAUAGAAACCACAUCCUAUAAACCUCAACUGUACCUUAAGGAAGCUCGGAUUUACAAAUCUUUUCCAUGACCUAUUGGUUGCUAUGAACACCAGUACCAAGAACUCCAGAGAAUUUUGUGCCAAGAAAAUAAAACUAUUCCUAAAGAUGUAUGGAACUAUAAUGUACCCACUGCAUGGAAUCAUUAUAGCUUUACACCAAAAGCCAAUGAAGCACUUGAGGAAUUUAGAUAAGCUGUAUCAUCACAGGAGCAAGAAAUGACAGAUACAGAUGACCUUGCACAAUCUUCUCAAGACCCCUAUGCACAAUAGGGAGGACUUCUUUCUCAAGACCCCUAUAAUCAAAGACAUUUGUCCUUAUCUCUAGGCAUAGACAUAUCCUACUAUGCUCAACUAUCCAAUUGGCAUCAGCCAAACAUUCCUACUGACACUACAAGUACUUUCAAAAAUCAUGAGGAAGCAUCCUCGUCAAACACCCGAAUUCUCUCACCAGAUUCACUUGUAGGAUUUGAGCAAAAAUAAGAAGAACACCUUCUGGCUGAGAUGCAUAGUUUUGAUGACUCAAACUAUGAUUACAAUGUUCGCAAUAGACAAGACUACUGAUCGUAGUAGAUCACUGUAGCAAGUUAUUGUAGCAUUACUGUAGCAGUAGACUAGGGAAAUCACCGUUUACUGUCGCUGUUCAUAGCACCGAAAAUAACUCCCUGCCGGAUUUUCCGGAGCCUCUAUUUGCUUCUAGACCCGUGAGCAUGGUCCUUGUUUGUGUGUGACCUUCUAAUGUCUAUAAAAGGCAAGGAUGAUGUAAUAUGUUUGACAGAGUCUCUUGAAGUAAAGUGAGUGUUUUGUGUGAAACUCUCAAUGGCUUUCUAAACUCCUUCUUCUUCUCCAGCUUGAUAGGAUCCUUUGAGAAAUGUAGUUUGGACAGUUAUAAACGUUACCAUCCUAACACCUCUGAGUGUCUCUAGGCUCUGAACUAAAGGUCAAAGUGGUUUACUGCUAAAAGGCUGUCUCUGAAGGGCUUGAAUGGGAGAGGUUCGCCUAUAGUAGGAAGGCAUACCUGCGGGAAACUGACUUCGUCUUCCCUAGUUCUAAGCCUAGGUCUAUUCAUGACUGGUCAUGCGGUCUUUGGUUUCAUCAUCAUUGGUUGACUGACAAUUAAAAAGGAAUCCAUCCUUUCAUGUGAUCUGUUGUAAUUAUCAUCUAAUAAAUAUCGACACUAAUUGGACCCUAGCCAAGUCAAUACAUAAUAAGGGAGGAGGGCGGCUCUUCUGUUCAGAAGACUUCUAGAAAUAGUUUAGUUCUAAGAUCGGGUUCCUAUGUUUUAGGGUAAUAUCUUAAACAACUUUUUGAAAACACAAGAUCUAAUUAUUGGUUGUCUUAUGUGCACCCAUGAUGCAUGAGCUCAUCAACAAGCGAGCUCUCAUAGCCAUACUUUUGUAACCUCUAUUUGUUAAUCACAAUCAUUUCCAACAUGCUAUUAAAAAAUUUCCUUUAAAGGACUCAUAUUAGAUUAGACAAAUUAGUGAAAAUGUUCAGUUGUUUUGCUAAGAAUGAACAAUUUGCAAAAUUAAGAAAAUGAUUACUCGUGCGUAUUGCUUAGAAAGAUAAAUUGACAAAAAAUAUUAUUAUUAUUAAUAAUAAUUUAUACCUAAAUAAUUGUGUUCAAUGAACUAAUCAUUAUGGUGCAUUCCUAUAAGAAAAAAAGAUGAUCGUGCCGUGCAUAGGACUACCGCGUCGUUCUGAUGCAUACGUCCAUAGGCUCGGAUGACGUAAUCUGUUCCAAGUAGAAUAAUAGAGUAUUUUUAAAAAACCUGUUAAUAUUUUAAAGGUAGGCCAUUAAUGAAACCGGACGCCAAUAGUAGAGCACAAACCGCACUUUUUGAUAUCUUCGGAAGGUUUCAUUUUCCUCCAUUUUCGUCUGAAAGCUUGGACGUCGACAUCCGAGUAAUUUCCUAGCAUUGAUCCAUUGCGCAUAUUAGUUCAGCAGAAAGAAAGAAAAAAAAAACCUAUUGCUUUUGUAUUUCAUUUUAGGCCAAUUAAAAUUUAGAUGACACUUAUUUCCAAGUGUCUCACAAUGCUUGUAAUUAUACGUAGUGUUUACUAUCAUAAACUAAUUGGAUCUUUAUCAUAAACUGAAAUCUUUGAGAAAUUUUCGUAUUAGCCACUUAUAAAUCUGAUAGUUAUGCGCUAUUUAGACUUAUUGAUCUUCAGAUGAUUAGCACAUCGACAGUUGGAGCAGACUUUUGGAUGUAACUUCCCUUUUCAUAAUUCAUACAAGAAGUCCACCUACUUUUUUUGACCAGUGAAAAAGAAAAGGAUCCAAAGAGAAUCUCUCUCUCUCUCUCUCUCUCUCUCUCUCUCUCUCUCUCUACUGUGGAGUUGUGCGGCGUGAUUUCUUGGAAGAGCCUCGCCGCUUUUCUGCAAUUUAUAAUGUAGUUAGCUUCCUUGGCGGGGGUUGUUCUGAUCUCUCUCUUUCACAGUUGGAUGGAGCUUUCUUGGGAUUCUGGUCGUCUUCAACAGGCGAUUCACCGACAUAGUUCCAAACUCACUGUCCUAGACAUAGACUGAAUGCACCUAAUUUCCAAUUUCCCUUGGUGCUUGCGAGCCCCGCGCGAUUCCUCCCGUAUUUACAAUUUCUUUUCGUGCUUGCGGCCCCCGCGCGAUUCCACCUAAUUUCCAAUUUCUUUUGACGUUUGCAGGCCUCCCUUCAAAUUCCGAUCAAUAGACGUCGCAGACAAACUCCAUUUAGCUUUAGGUGGAGGAUGAACUUUGAAUUAGUCUUUGGUGAGGGCCAGUGACAAGGCGUUCGCUUUGUCCUCCGUGGGGCAAAAUUAAUACCGUGUUAAGAUACCCAGUGGCAAAAGAAGCACGAAAUUGAAAACGAAUAUGGGGAGAAAUUACUAGGAAGGAGUUAAAAAUUGAUUAGAAAGUUGACUGGUCCUGAUAAUCCAUGUGGCCAACAAUCCUUGACGAUAUUCUCUGCAGGGAGUAACCUCACGAUUUUUUCACGGAUCAAAGACGUGCAUCGACGUUUGCUUGACCUUUUCUUCGCUUCAGUAACCGAAAGAGGUUAUAAUCUCCAUUACGGCGUCGAAAAUAAGGAUGCAUUUUUUUCUUUUAUCUCAAUUAGAAGUCGAGGCUUUUCCGAGAAGAUCUAGUGGAACUCAUUAGGGAAAAGCCACAACCUUUAUCACGAAUCAAGAUGCCGCGUACAUUUUUCUAGCGCCUCCUUUUCUUCUUUUAGGCUUCGUUCGUUUGCGGAAAGUACCCCUUCUCCUUUUGGUAUGAAUGAAAUUUUAUCGAUGAGAAGAGGGGAUUUGGAAUGACACCCAUAUUUUUUUAUUUUUAUUUUUGUCAGAAAUAGAUAGGUUUCAUUACUAAACCACCGUCAAAACACCACAAAGUUUCAAUAUCCAAGCAUAAAAUUAUCGAAUGACACCCAUAUUCAAACAAACAUAUUGGUCAUGAGACCAGGAAAAAGACUUGUCAUAUGGCGUCCGGUUUCAUUAAUGGCCUACCUUUAAAAUAUUAACAGGUUUUUAAUGGCCUCUCUUUUAUUCUGUGCGUAUGUUUCAUGAAUAAUCAAUGACUCUGAAUUCAUAAAAUGAUCUUUCGUAUCUUUUAACAAAAAUAAAUAAUUAAAAAUAUUUUCAUUAAUGAUGAAAAUAUUUAGGUAUAAAUUGUUAUUAAUAAUAAAAAUAUUUUUUUGUCAAUUUAUCUUUCUAAGCGACACGCACGAGUAAUCAUUUUCAUAAUUUUGCAAAUUGCUCAUUCUUAGCAAAGCAACUGAACGUUAUCGCUAAUUUGUCUAAUCUAAUAUGAGUCCUUCAAAGGAAAUUUUUUAAUAACAUGCUGGAAAUGAUUGUGAUUAACAAAUAGAGGUUACAAAAGUAUGGCUAUGAGAGCUCGCUUGUUGAUGAGCUCGUGCAUCAUGGGUGUACACAAGACUAAGUUGUUAUAGAGAAUAUCUUAACAGACAUUUUUCACGACGAAGACUAGUCCAAAACAAUUUGUAUAUAGAGCAACUAGUCCUCAAAUUAUACUUAUCUUAUAGCCCUAACUAAACAUGUCAAAACAUCUUGAAUUUUGGAUAUGUUAUAAAUCAGAAUGUUCUAUACAAUUUUUAUGAAGGAAUUUUAUAAAAAUUCAGGACAACAAUCGGAUCACUGUUCCGACUACACUAGACAGGUCAAACACGGUAAAGGAGAAGUCCAUCUUACCAUCCAUAUCAUCUCAAACCUCUAGCCAAGAGUUCUCUUAUUGCCUUCCAAGUAAGCGAUCCGUUAACCUGCACAAGCAAAAGUUUAUAAAUAACAAGGAGAUGACUAAUUAGUAGAAAGAGGAGCUCAGCCUGCAAGAUCCUCUCAUUGAUGAGAACACGAAUACGUUAGGUAUAGCACGUUGAAGUAUCUAAUUGUUCUACGCAAACACUAGACAUGAAAGACCGAAUGCGAUAAAACCACCAGACCACAUUAUGGAGUCCCCUCGGUUUCAUACGCCCAUAAUUGAAGGCGUUUGGGAAAUUUUUUUGACAGGAGAGAAUCUUGCGACCGCCGGAUAUUCUGCCGGGAAUUUCAGACCAAACAUGCAGGCGCUCUCUCCAUUGACUAUAAUGGUCGCACCCAGCCGAAAUCUAGAAUAAACAAAUAUCUUCAUAACAAAUUGUGUCGCCAGAUGCGCUGUUUAAUAAAUCCUCGUCUUCCCUCCCCUCCCUCCUCGUCCUCCUCGUCAUCAUCAACGAGUGUUCCUCUCUCUCUCUCCACCUUCUUGUCCCGCUCUCUCCCACAUUCCAAAAAUGUCUUAUAUCGGGCGGAAUCAGUGGAACAGUAUUGAGGACCUCGUCCCUUUUCUCGUUCCGAUUCUGGUGAAUUUCGUUGCCAUGAAAUAUCAAGGCAUGCAGCGUUCUCCAUUCGAUUCGCAUCCCAUCAGUGUCUUCCUCACCGUCUUCACGCUCCUCCUUUUUUGCAUCUUGUCCUUUCCACAUGUUGCUGAUCAGUUGAUAUUUCGGACACCUCGUGGUGCCCGCAUCUUUCUCUGGCUUAGGGCCUUUUCCUGUCUCUCCGUAGCUUUACUCUCGUUCAUCUUGUUCGGAGGACUCUUCUUCUUUCUCCUCUGUUUCCCGAGGAUUGGAGCCUGGCAAGUGCUUGCGCAUGGUGAGCGACGAUGGAAGAGAAAGCCAUCGAUGAUUCGCAGAUAAAAACAAAACCAGAAAAGAGAAGAGAUUCAACGAAACCGCGCGUCAACGCGGAAUCCGCUGAGGAAUGCGCAAUGGGCGAUGUGCAAUGAUAUAACCAGUUCUCGACGCGCGGUUUUUCGUUCUCGACGCUUUCAUCGCUCAGCUUAUGGGGGGACUGGGCGAGAUUUGCUGGCUGAACAGGAAAUUUCCAAUGACUAUGGCUGCAGUACUAGUACCUGCUUGCCCCCUUGAUUAAUCAAUUGGAAGCGUUGUCUAGGCUGACCAUUAAAGCAAUCCAAUUCUACACUUAUUUCGCUUAUUCAUGUGUUUUGCUUGAUAUCCUACUUGUUUUUAAGCUCUAGCAAAGCGUUCCUAAUUUGCUGGGAAAAUUUCAAAACAUUUCAAUAUUAUGAGUUUUUACAACGUUUUACUGUUGAGUAAGUUUCCACCUCAUUCUGUAGAACUGUCUGGCUUAGUUUUGGUGUGAAGUGAUUACCAAUAAAACCGUUAAAUAAGACCCCCUAUAUUUAAGCUUCCACCGCAUUUUUUGUUCAAACGCAGUUAAUGUAUUUUGCCAUGAAUUUUGCAGAAAGAUAUCUAUCAGAAACCAUAUUUAUCAAGUGCACAUCAUGCUCUUAGUUUAGAUUUGAAGCAAGCAUGUCUCCUCCCAAAAUUAGAUCAUGAAGACAACCUGUGGAAAUCUUAACCUAGCUGACUACAAAAACCGAUUGACAUAUUUGCCAGGACAUACAUAGAAUUUAUGUUCUGUCCGAUAGUGACAAGUAAGAAUCAUUGGUUGAGGAACGUUAAAUGUAUCGUUUGGACCUGCGAGAUGGAACUGCACUCAUGUUUAUAAUUCGCUAAAAAGUAUCACCUAAGAAGGAAGUUUAACUUGAAAAUAUGAAAUAUCUAUUUUGAGAGGCAAUGAUGGUUCAACCAAGCAUUGGAUGUAUGUUUUAAAGGAGUGAUGACUCCAUGAAGUUGAGUUUGGGAAAUUGUAAUACUUGAAGCGAAUACAAACUGUUGCUGAAGUUGCAAUUCAGGGAUCUAAAGGGACACUUAUAUGAAAAGUGGACUGAUGUGAUAACUCCCAUAUGGGCUCAAUUGCCUUUGCUCUUAAUUGGGACGUGUAAUUGGUUUUUUGCACAUGUAUCCCUUGGAAGGUGUCCUGGUUAUAUCCUUUUGCCUUUAAGAAACUCUCUUUUGACUGUCUAAUGUUGGUAUGAGACUAGUUUGAGAAUGCCCAUUUUCCAACAGAUUCUUCAGGGAAAAGGCAUUCAUAUACGGGAUAUCAAUGCAUCUGGGGACUACCUUGACCAUUUCGCAUCCAAUUCAUGAGGACCAAAUAUGUAUUGGUAACGGUUAUUUUUUUCUUUACCUUGAUGACAUUUGUCCUGUCUAUUUUAGACUUGGUCUGAAAGAUCAAGAAGAAGGUGACUUAGGACCAGCUUAUGGCUUUCAGUGGCGGCAUUUGGUGCUAGGUUGGUUUGCCUUAAUUUAGUUGAUCAGUUUUUAUUUGUUGCAGCAAUGUAUGUUUAAUGAUAUUAUAUAUGUCGUAUGUCACAGGAACAGUAACAUGCACAUUGACCUACCGGCCAAGGAUUUGAUCAGUUGUUGGAUGUUAUUUACAAGAUCAAGAAUAAUCCAGACGAUUGUUUAAUUAUGCUCACUGCUUGGAAUCCUUCUGAUUCUGGCACUUCCACCUUGGCACAUGUUUGCACAGUGUAGAUAUGUUUUGCUUCAUUUUCCCAAAAUUCUCUCUGUUUUCUUUCCUUUCUUUCUUUGGUUAACCUAAUUUUACCUUUGCCCUUUUUUGUUGCAAAUGGGAAGUUGUCGUCUCAAAUGUAUCGGUGUUCUGCUGACAUGGGAUUGGUGGUGCCAUUCAGCAU
rnacentral:lncRNA from 1 species